rnacentral:lncRNA from 1 species
AAGCACAAGUAAAGAGCUGGUCUUCCUACCCUGAUAAUUCCAAGUCCUCUCUCCCAGUGCCCAUCUUUAUUCUUCAGGGUUCUUUACUCUGUGUGCCGUGGACACAGCUGCCAAGGAAAACUCGAGAGAGGGAAAGAAGAGUUGCCCGUUUCUCCGUGCUCUUUGUCUGUUUACACCACAGAAGUCAAGGAACUAAAACCACGUGAUAACUCCUCCUGAAAAAUGCUAAUGCCCAGAAGAGGAGAAAAAGGCCCCCAGACCCGUUGCCCGGGAUGGGGUCCCUGCCUGUAAGAUCCAGCUCAUAACACGUCUGGCUGGAAGUUUUGGAUUUUUAAUAUCAUUCCUUGCCCUGGAAGAACUCUCUGGGAGACCAUCAUUACCAUAUAAUUCUUUGGGGGAAAUGAAACAACAGCCGGCCCUGCCAAUCACCAUGGCAACACUCCUGUAAGUACACAGACUCGCAUCAACACAAAGAAUUAUAUCUCUAUGUGUAUGUUC